rnacentral:lncRNA from 1 species
GCUUUGUUAAACAAGUGCUUGAAGGCAGUAUGCUUGGUAAAAGUCAUCGCCAUUCUCUAAUCUUGAGUACCCAGGGACACGAUACACUGCGGAAGGCUGCAGGGACCUCUGCCCAGGAAAGCCAGGCUUGCAUGAAGGAAAUGAUUUCCUAUGAUUCUGCUUACUGCUUAAAAAAAUUAAUCAAGUUUUCUGCCUGACAAGAUCCAGUAUCUGCCGGAGGAGCCCCACCUUCUGCUACUAUUAUGUUCUUCAGAUGAGUAGAAGAGAGUGGGGAGGGAGAGAGCAGGAAGAAGAAAGGAAGAAUAAUGUCUUGAAAUUGUUUUCUAAGGAUAAUGGUCUCCAGCUUCGUCAAUGUUCCUGCAAAGGACAUGAUGCUGACUUUGAAGAUGCAAGCUUCCACAUCUACAGCCUCAAGGAAACAAAUUCAGCCAACCAACUGAGGGAGCUUUCCUUGUCCUGCCUCAAGAUGAGAUCACAGUCUGCCCAACACCAUGAUUUAGGCCUUGUGACACCUGGUAUGGAAGACCCAGUUAAGUUCUCUCCAAACUCUUGACCCACAGAACCUGUGAGAAAAUAUAUGGAUAUUAUUUUAAACUGCUAAAUUUGUAGUAAUUUGUUAUGCAGCAAUAAAAAAAACUAAUGCAAGGAGAUAUCAAUUAUUGUAAAAAGCUUAGCUUUUGUUUUAAAAUAUAGUUCACCAGUAGUAAGUUACUAAUAAGUAACUAAACAAAUAAAAGCAAGCCAUUUACAAAUCAAUAAUAAGAGUAAGUCAUGAACUAAAGAUUGUAAUUAAUCAAUUUCUGUACGCCUGUAAUGAAAAUAAAGGAGGAAAAGAAAA